UACGUAGGGCGCAAGCGUUGUCCGGAAUUAUUGGGCGUAAAGAGCUCGUAGGCGGUUUGUCGCGUCUGCUGUGAAAACCCGAGGCUCAACCUCGGGCCUGCAGUGGGUACGGGCAAACUAGAGUGCGGUAGGGGAGAAUGGAAUUCCUGGUGUAGCGGUGGAAUGCGCAGAUAUCAGGAGGAACACCGGUGGCGAAGGCGGUUCUCUGGGCCUUACCUGACGCUGAGGAGCGAAAGCGUGGGGAGCAAACAGG
rnacentral:rRNA from 1 species